rnacentral:rRNA from 1 species
UACGUAGAGUGCAAGCGUUGUCCGGAAUUAUUGGGCGUAAAGAGCUCGUAGGCGGUCUGUCGCGUCUGCUGUGAAAACUCGGGGCUUAACCCCGGGCCUGCAGUGGGUACGGGCAGACUAGAGUGCGGUAGGGGAGACUGGAAUUCCUGGUGUAGCGGUGAAAUGCGCAGAUAUCAUUUGGAACGCCAAUGGUGAAAACAGGUCGCUGGGAGUGUGCUGACGCUGAGACACGAAAGCCAGGGGAGCAAACGGG